rnacentral:rRNA from 1 species
UACCGUGAAACUGCGAAUGGCUCAUUAAAUCAGUUAUCGUUUAUUUGAUAGUACCUUACUACUUGGAUAACCGUGGUAAUUCUAGAGCUAAUACAUGCUAAAAACCCCGACUUCGGGAGGGGUGUAUUUAUUAGAUAAAAAACCAAUGCCCUUCGGGGCUCUUUGGUGAUUCAUAAUAACUUAACGGAUCGCAUGGCCUUGCGCCGGCGACGGUUCAUUCAAAUUUCUGCCCUAUCAACUUUCGAUGGUAAGGUAUUGGCUUACCAUGGUUUCAACGGGUAACGGGGAAUUAGGGUUCGAUUCCGGAGAGGGAGCCUGAGAAACGGCUACCACAUCCAAGGAAGGCAGCAGGCGCGCAAAUUACCCAAUCCCGACACGGGGAGGUAGUGACAAUAAAUACUGAUACAGGGCUCUUUUGGGUCUUGUAAUUGGAAUGAGUACAAUUUAAACCCCUUAACGAGGAACAAUUGGAGGGCAAGUCUGGUGCCAGCAGCCGCGGUAAUUCCAGCUCCAAUAGCGUAUAUUAAAGUUGUUGCAGUUAAAAAGCUCGUAGUUGAAACUUGGGCCUGGCUGGCCGGUCCGCCUCACCGCGUGUACUGGUCCGGCCGGGCCUUUCCUUCUGGAGAGCCUCAUGCCCUUCACUGGGUGUGUUGGGGAACCAGGACUUUUACUUUGAAAAAAUUAGAGUGUUCAAAGCAGGCCUUUGCUCGAAUACGUUAGCAUGGAAUAAUAGAAUAGGACGUGCGAUCCUAUUUUGUUGGUUUCUAGGACCGCCGUAAUGAUUAAUAAGGGAUAGUCGGGGGCAUCAGUAUUCAAUUGUCAGAGGUGAAAUUCUUGGAUUUAUUGAAGACUAACUACUGCGAAAGCAUUUGCCAAGGAUGUUUUCAUUAAUCAGUGAACGAAAGUUAGGGGAUCGAAGACGAUCAGAUACCGUCGUAGUCUUAACCGUAAACUAUGCCGACUAGGGAUCGGGCGAUGUUAUUAUUUUGACUCGCUCGGCACCUUACGAGAAAUCAAAG